rnacentral:lncRNA from 1 species
AGAACCAAGAGACUUAUGUAAUGGUACAAGAUCCCAAUGAUGACUGUAACUGUGCUGUAUACCUAAAAUGUACCAAUAAAGUUAAUGGGGAAAAAAUUAAAAAAAUAAAAUACCGUUUGUUUUUAAUUUUGAAGACAUAAAAAUAUAUACUUACAUGUAAAUGAUUUCAUAGUAUUAUGUACAGUUUAAUACAUAAACAUUUAGUUUUAAUUUGGUGAAUAUUGUGGUAUAUUAUCCACUUAAAAGCUUUUUGAGAUCAAUAACUUCUCAUAGCAUGAAAGGAUCCUGAGACAAAAAUUUGAGAGCCUCUGAGCGAGGAAAGAUAUUUACACAAAAAGUAAGCAGACACUUUGCCCAAGUGGUGAGAUGUUUGAUGAUAAUCCUUUCCUCUGUGUAUGCUUUUUUCCUCAGGUACUGAGGUUGAACCAUGGCUUUCGCACUGAGCUACAUCCCCAGCCCUUGUAUUUUGAGACGAGACCUUGCUAAGUCGCUAUGUUGCCCAGGCUAGGCUCGAAUUUGCCAUCUAUCCUCCCGCCUCAGUGAUAAAAUUCAUAAACGAUGGACGAAGGGCGACCCUACGGCCCGCCUCGCGUCUGAGGGCGCCCCCGGCUCCUCAUUGUGACGCCGGCCGCAGUUCGAGUCCCUGCCGGGUGCUGGGGUCUGGGCACGGCGCUGGGAGCCAUGGCCGAGGCGCAGGAGCAGUGGCUGCAGCUGCAGAAGGACAACCGCGACGGCCGCCUGCGGAAGCAGGAGCUGGAGGAGGUGGUGCGCGGCCUGGAGGUCGAGAGCGAGAGCCUCGCCGGGCGCCUGCACAGGCUACGCGAGCGGGAGCGCAGGUGCGCGGGGGGCGCCGCUCGGCGGAGCGGUCGGACUGACCCGCCCGGCCCGCACCUCCGACCUAGCCUGCGGGACCCUGGCGAUCUACCCAGAGGGCCCGGGAAGGGAGGCUGGUGCCUGGCACGACCCGGACCCGGCGGCUUCUUCUUCGGCUCCAACCCCCAGCCCAAGCUGGCCCUUCCCGGGGGCGACAGGGGCCGCAGGAUCUUGAGCGCCCCGCACCCUUGCGUAGCACCGGCCUCAGUUUCCCUCUGCAGCUUGCAGCGGAGGCGAAGCCAGGCGGCACCGGCCCUACGAGGGGAGGCUCGCGAGGCGGUACGGGAGCGCGCGGAGCGGGCGCAGAGACUGCUGGAGGCUGCGGAGCGGCGCAAGCUGGAGCUGGAGCAAAGCCACAGACAACUGCAAGACCAGUUGGAGGAGCUGUCCAGUCAGGUACGCAAGGGAUGA